GCUCCCGUAGCUCAGCUGGAUAGAGCAUCGGCCUUCUAAGCCGAGGGUCGUUGGUUCGAGUCCAACCGGGGGCG
rnacentral:tRNA from 2 species